UCGGGAAUUUUGCGCAAUGGACGAAAGUCUGACGCAGCGACGCCGCGUGAAGGAUGAAGGCCUUCGGGUUGUAAACUUCGUUAUAAGCACCGGCUAACUACGUGCCAGCAGCAGCGGUCAUACGUAGGGUGCAAGCAUUACCCGGUCUUAUUGGGCGUAAAGAGUUCUGUAGGCGGUUAGAUAAGUUGGAAGUUAAAGAUCUCGGCUCAACCGAGAGAGGGCUUUCAAUACUAUUUGACUAGGAGGUAACUAGGGGGUAGCGGAACGCAUGGUGUAGCAGUGAAAUGCGUUGAUAUCAUGCGGAACACCAAGGGGGAAGCCAGCUAUCUGGGGUUAUCCUGACGCUGAGAGACGAAAGCGUGGGGAGCGAAACGG
rnacentral:rRNA from 1 species